GACGAACGCUGGCGGCGUGCUUAACACAUGCAAGUCGAACGGAAAGGCCCUGCUUUUGUGGGGUGCUCGAGUGGCGAACGGGUGAGUAACACGUGAGUAACCUGCCCUUGACUUUGGGAUAACUUCAGGAAACUGGGACUAAUACCGGAUAGGAGCUCCUGCUGCAUGGUGGGGGUUGGAAAGUUUCGGCGGUUGGGGAUGGACUCGCGGCUUAUCAGCUUGUUGGUGGGGUAGUGGCUUACCAAGGCUUUGACGGGUAGCCGGCCUGAGAGGGUGACCGGCCACAUUGGGACUGAGAUACGGCCCAGACUCCUACGGGAGGCAGCAGUGGGGAAUAUUGCACAAUGGGCGGAAGCCUGAUGCAGCAACGCCGCGUGCGGGAUGACGGCCUUCGGGUUGUAAACCGCUUUCGCCUGUGACGAAGCGUGAGUGACGGUAAUGGGUAAAGAAGCACCGGCUAACUACGUGCCAGCAGCCGCGGUGAUACGUAGGGUGCGAGCGUUGUCCGGAUUUAUUGGGCGUAAAGGGCUCGUAGGUGGUUGAUCGCGUCGGAAGUGUAAUCUUGGGGCUUAACCCUGAGCGUGCUUUCGAUACGGGUUGACUUGAGGAAGGUAGGGGAGAAUGGAAUUCCUGGUGGAGCGGUGGAAUGCGCAGAUAUCAGGAGGAACACCAGUGGCGAAGGCGGUUCUCUGGGCCUUUCCUGACGCUGAGGAGCGAGAGCGUGGGGAGCGAACAGGCUUAGAUACCCUGGUAGUCCACGCUGUAAACGGUGGGUACUAGGUGUGGGGUCCAUUCCACGGGUUCCGUGCCGUAGCUAACGCUUUAAGUACCCCGCCUGGGGAGUACGGCCGCAAGGCUAAAACUCAAAGGAAUUGACGGGGCCCCGCACAAGCGGCGGAGCAUGCGGAUUAAUUCGAUGCAACGCGUAGAACCUUACCUGGGUUUGACAUGGAUCGGGAGUGCUCAGAGAUGGGUGUGCCUCUUUUGGGGUCGGUUCACAGGUGGUGCAUGGCUGUCGUCAGCUCGUGUCGUGAGAUGUUGGGUUAAGUCCCGCAACGAGCGCAACCCUUGUUCACUGUUGCCAGCACGUUAUGGUGGGGACUCAGUGGAGACCGCCGGGGUCAACUCGGAGGAAGGUGGGGAUGACGUCAAGUCAUCAUGCCCCUUAUGUCCAGGGCUUCACGCAUGCUACAAUGGCUGGUACAGAGAGUGGCGAGCCUGUGAGGGUGAGCGAAUCUCGGAAAGCCGGUCUCAGUUCGGAUUGGGGUCUGCAACUCGACCUCAUGAAGUCGGAGUCGCUAGUAAUCGCAGAUCAGCAACGCUGCGGUGAAUACGUUCCCGGG
rnacentral:rRNA from 1 species